AUUGAACGCUGGCGGCAUGCCUUACACAUGCAAGUCGAACGGCAGCACGGGUGCUUGCACCUGGUGGCGAGUGGCGAACGGGUGAGUAAUACAUCGGAACGUACCUUAUCGUGGGGGAUAACGCAGCGAAAGCUGUGCUAAUACCGCAUACGCCCUGAGGGGGAAAGCGGGGGAUCGCAAGACCUCGCGCGAUUAGAGCGGCCGAUGCCUGAUUAGCUAGUUGGUGGGGUAAAAGCCCACCAAGGCGACGAUCAGUAGCUGGUCUGAGAGGACGGUCAACGACGCUGGGACUGAGACACGGCCCACGCUCCUACGGGAGGCAGCAGUGGGGAAUGUUGGACAAAGGGGCAACCCUGAUCAAGCAAUGCCGCGUGAGUGAAGAAGGCCUUCGGGUUGUAAAGCUCUUUUGUCAGGGAAGAAACACCGGCUCUAACACAGUCCGGGAAUGACGGUACCUGAAGAAUAAGCACCGGCUAACUACGUGCCAGCAGCCGCCGCGG
rnacentral:rRNA from 1 species